rnacentral:rRNA from 1 species
UACGGAGGGUGCAAACGUUGCUCGGAAUCAUUGGGCGUAAAGCGCACGUAGGCGGACUGCUAAGUCGGACGUGAAAUCCCUCAGCUUAACUGAGGAAGUGCAUUCGAAACUGACAGUCUUGAGUACAGGAGAGGGUCGCGGAAUUCCCGGUGUAGAGGUGAAAUUCGUAGAUAUUCGCAAGAACACCAGUGGCGAAGGCGGCUUGCCAGAACGCGCUCGACGGUGAGGGAUGAAAGCUGGGGGAGCAAACCGG